rnacentral:rRNA from 1 species
AUUGAACGCUGGCGGCAUGCCUUACACAUGCAAGUCGAACGGUAACGCGGGGCAACCUGGCGACGAGUGGCGAACGGGUGAGUAAAGCAUCGGAACGUGCCCAGUAGUGGGGGAUAGCCCGGCGAAAGCCGGAUUAAUACCGCAUACGACCUAAGGGUGAAAGGGGGGGAUCGCAAGACCUCUCGCUAUUGGAGCGGCCGAUGUCAGAUUAGGUAGUUGGUGGGGUAAAGGCCUACCAAGCCGACGAUCUGUAGCUGGUCUGAGAGGACGACCAGCCACACUGGACUGAGACACGGCCCAGACUCCUACGGGAGGCAGCAGUGGGGAAUUUUGGACAAUGGGCGCAAGCCUGAUCCAGCCAUGCCGCGUGCGGGAAGAAGGCCUUCGGGUUGUAAACCGCUUUCGUCAGGGAAGAAACGCUCUGGGAUAAUACCCUGGGGUAAUGACGGUACCUGAAGAAUAAGCACCGGCUAACUACGUGCCAGCAGCCGCCGUAAAAC